rnacentral:rRNA from 1 species
CCUACGGGAGGCAGCAGUAAGGAAUAUUGGUCAAUGGACGCAAGUCUGAACCAGCCAUGCCGCGUGAAGGAUUAAGGCCCUCUGGGUUGUAAACUUCUUUUAUAGGGGACGAAAAAAGGGCAUUCUUGCUCACUUGACGGUACCCUAGGAAUAAGCACCGGCUAACUCCGUGCCAGCAGCCGCGGUAAUACGGAGGGUGCAAGCGUUAUCCGGAUUUACUGGGUUUAAAGGGUGCGUAGGUGGGUUGGUAAGUCAGUGGUGAAAUCUUCGAGCUUAACUCGGAAACUGCCAUUGAUACUAUCAAUCUUGAAUCAUCUAGAGGUAAGCGGAAUAUGUCAUGUAGCGGUGAAAUGCUUAGAUAUGACAUAGAACACCAAUUGCGAAGGCAGCUUACUAUGGAUGUAUUGACACUGAGGCACGAAAGCGUGGGGAUCAAACAGGAUUAGAUACCCUGGUAGUCCACGCCCUAAACGAUGGAUACUCGACAUUUGUGAUAUACUAUAAGUGUNUGAGNGAAGANAUAAGUAUACCACCAGGAGUACGACCGCGAGUAGAAGUAAAGUAAAGUAGAGNGNGAGAGAGCGAGACGACGACGAGGGAGGAGG